GAAGGGUGCAAGCGUUACUCGGAAUUACUGGGCGUAAAGCGUGCGUAGGUGGUUUUUUAAGUCCGUUGUGAAAGCCCUGGGCUCAACCUGGGAAUGGCAGUGGAUACUGGAAAGCUAGAGUGCGGUAGAGGGUAGUGGAAUUCCCGGUGUAGCAGUGAAAUGCGUAGAGAUCGGGAGGAACACCAGUGGCGAAGGCGGCUACCUGGACCAGCACUGACACUGAGGCACGAAAGCGUGGGGAGCAAACAGGAUUAGAUACCCUGGUAGUCCACGCCCUAAACGAUGCGAACUGGAGGUUGGGUGCAACUUGGCACUCAGUCUCGAAGCUAACGCGUUAAGUUCGCCGCCUGGGGAGUACGGUCGCAAG
rnacentral:rRNA from 1 species